rnacentral:rRNA from 1 species
AUUGAACGCUGGCGGCAUGCUUUACACAUGCAAGUCGAACGGCAGCACGGGGCAACCCUGGUGGCGAGUGGCGAACGGGUGAGUAAUAUAUCGGAACGUACCCGGAAAUGGGGAUAACGUAGCGAAAGUUACGCUAAUACCGCAUAUGCCCUAAGGGGAAAGCGGGGGAUUCGCAAGAACCUCGCGUUUUCGGAGCGGCCGAUAUCGGAUUAGCUAGUAGGUGAGGUAAAGGCUCACCUAGGCGACGAUCCGUAGCUGGUCUGAGAGGACGACCAGCCACACUGGAACUGAGACACGGUCCAGACUCCUACGGGAGGCAGCAGUGGGGAAUUUUGGACAAUGGCGCAAGCCUGAUCCAGCCAUGCCGCGUGAGUGAAGAAGGCCUUCGGUUGG